rnacentral:lncRNA from 1 species
GGCUGUCUUAGUGACUUACAAGCAACUCACUGUGCUUUUGUACCAGACUAUCUAAAUUUUUAAUUCGAUGAUGGAAGAUUUUUAGAUACAGUCAAAUACUUGUGAAGUCUGAAUGCGAGUCAAGAUGGGAUUGGCAGCUUCAAGUAAAAUUGGAGAUGAUGCAUCAUUAUGUUUCAAUUCAGCAAAACUUUGGCCAAAGUAGUCCUAAUGAAGAGUCACAAGAUUUUUAAGAUGGAGACACAAUGUGGACCACUCUUUCUGGGUUGAC